GAUGAACGCUGGCGGCGUGCCUAAUACAUGCAAGUCGAGCGAAUGGAUUAAGAGCUUGCUCUUAUGAAGUUAGCGGCGGACGGGUGAGUAACACGUGGGCAACCUGCCCAUAAGACUGGGAUAACUCCGGUAAACCGGGGCUAAUACCGGAUAACAUUUUGAACAGCUUGGUUCGAAAUUGAAAGGCGGCUUCGGCUGUCACUUAUGGAUGGACCCGCGUCGCAUUGGCUAGUUGGUGAGGUAACGGCUCACCAAGGCAACGAUGCGUAGCCGACCUGGGAGGGUGAUCGGCCACACUGGGACUGAUACACGGCCCAGACUCCUACGGGAGGCAGCAGUAGGGAAUCUUCCGCAAUGGACGAAAGUCUGACGGAGCAACGCCGCGUGAGUGAUGAAGGCUUUCGGGUCGUAAAACUCUGUUGUUAGGGAAGAACAAGUGCUAGUUGAAUAAGCUGGCACCUUGACGGUACCUAACCAGAAAGCCACGGCUAACUACGUGCCAGCCGCCGCUGUAA
rnacentral:rRNA from 1 species